GCUUUCAAUGAGACGUCAUUGCAGAUCUACCAUUAAUGAGACUGAGGCUUCAACUUUGCCUAGUAAAAAAUAAAUAAGGGGUAUAGAAGUAAUUAUAGUUUAUCAUUGUCUUCAAUGAAGGCUUUCUCUCCAACUGAGAUUCAUUCUUUCAUUUAGUAGUUUAAUGAAAGAGAAAAAAACCAAACUGAGAAGGAGACAAUGAACACGACGAAGGAUGCUAUACUAUCUGCGACCUCUAACCGUUUUCGGAGAAGAACAGAACUCUCUGUGUUUCUGCUCUUCCAAAUCUGCUUAUUGCAGCGGAAGAUUUCUUCAUUUCUCACGUUCGCAACCACCGCAACGUCUCUUUCACGAUAAGAAUUCCUCAGAUCUUUGUUUAGAUAGAUCUCUGUGUUCAAACUAUUGUUAAAUCGAUUGUGUUCAAACAUCAAUUUCAAUUCAAUUUCAUCGGUUAUGAACGUAACUGUUUGUGUUUCUCGUCUUCCAAAUCGCUUAUUGCAGCGGAAGAUUUCUUCAUUUCUCACAAUUGCAAUCACCGCGCAACGUCUCUUUCACGGUAAGAAUUCCUCAGAUCUAUGUUUUUUCUCUGUGUUCAGACUAUUGUUAAAUCGAUUGAUACACUGUAUUUUUUUAUUUCCCUGUGUAUAUCAAAUUUCAAUCUGUGCUGAUUUUCAGCUAGUUAGUUUAUGUGUUUCUGACUUUUUAAUUGAAAAUUUUAAUUCAUUAUUUAGCAAGCGCUUAUCAAACCAGUGGCAUUAACUGAAAAGUAGUAAUUUGAAGAACAAAGUCAUAGAUAGAUAGAUAGAUAGAUAGAUAGAUAGAUAGAUAGAUAGAUAGAUAG
rnacentral:lncRNA from 1 species